rnacentral:rRNA from 1 species
GUACACCCGCAGCACGAGUAGUGGUCACUUUUAUUGAGCCUAAAGCGUUCGUAGCCGGUUUUGUAAAUCUUCAGAUAAAGCCUGAAGCUUAACUCCAGAAAGUCUGAAGAGACUGCAAGACUUGAGAUCGGGUGAGGUUAAACGUACUUUCAGGGUAGGGGUAAAAUCCUGUAAUCCCGGAAGGACGACCAGUGGCGAAAGCGUUUAACUAGAACGAAUCUGACGGUAAGGAACGAAGGCUAGGGUAGCAAACCGGAUUAGAUACCCGGGUAGUCCUAGCUGUAAACAUUGCCCAUUUGAUGUUGCUUUUCCGUUGAGGGAAGGCAGUGUCGGAGCGAAGGUGUUAAAUGGGCCGCUUGGGAAGCAUGGUCGCAAGACUGAAACUUAAAGGAAUUGGCGGGGGAGCACCGCAACGGGAGGAAUGUGCGGUUUAAUUGGAUUCAACGCCGGAAAACUCACCGGGAACGACCUGUGCAUGAGAGUCAACCUGACGAGCUUACUCGAUAGCAGGAGAGGUGGUGCAUGGCCGUCGUCAGCUCGUACCGUAGGGCGUUCACUUAAGUGUGAUAACGAGCGAGACCCACAUCUUUAAUUGCAAAUGUAUAUGAGAAUA